CCCACACUUGCCCAACCCACCAGGAAAACUUGGCCAUUUUCCAUGCCCUUACGCUCACUCACAAGCUUACAGACACAACCCUUUCUCUCUAUACAUGGUACAGAAAUCUAUGCUUUGCUUUGGAAAUAGAGCAGCAGGAGGGAAAUGAUCAACACCAACUCAUCCUCAUCAUCAGCGAAGCUGCCUCCUCCUACUCAACCGCCGCAAUCGAUGGCCGCAUCAUCAUCUACAACGACCAAGACAUCAACGGCGCCGCCUACCUCUGAUGGCUCAGGCAAGAAGGUGAGGAAGCCCUAUACCAUCACCAAGUCCCGAGAGAGCUGGACCGAAGAAGAGCACGACAAGUUCCUCGAAGCUCUUCAACUGUUUGAUCGUGACUGGAAAAAGAUAGAAGAUUUUGUGGGUUCGAAGACAGUAAUUCAGAUUCGGAGUCAUGCACAGAAAUACUUUUUGAAGGUCCAAAAGAAUGGGACAAUUGCACAUGUGCCGCCUCCUCGCCCUAAGCGCAAAGCUGCUCAUCCUUAUCCUCAAAAGGCAUCAAAAAAUGUUUUAGUGCCGCUCGUGGCAUCCAUGGCUUACCGUUCUUCGAUAAAUACCUUUGCACCUGGGUAUGCUCCAUGGGAUGAUGCUUCCAUGCUAAUAAAUACUACCUUAAGCAAAAUCAUGCCAUCGCAAGAUGAAUUUAGCAGUCUUCACGGAGCUGAAGCUGAUAUUGGAUCAAAGGGCAUAGCAAGGAU
rnacentral:misc_RNA from 1 species